GGUGAACGACAACUAGAAAAGGUUGUGAUAGUGAGAUAUGGCUUCGCAUGAUUUAGUUUCCACAUCUUCAUUUUGCUGACAUUUACAAAAGCCUCAUCCCAAGAGUACUGGCUAACACUGUGCAAAGUCCCAGGGAAGAAAAUUCAGCAGUGGAAGAAAGAAGUGUUACACUAAAAUCAUUAGACCAAGAUCAAAAUGGUGGCUGUCUUGCUAGCAGUGAGGUGCUACAGAUCUCCCUGGCUCUCUGCGCCAGUAAUGAGACAAUGAGACAAUGGGACAGCAGUCGAAGGAAAGGGGGCUUCUGCACGGAGUUAAUCUGGCAGAAGUUGCUGGAACAAGACCAGCAAACAGUUACAGGC
rnacentral:lncRNA from 1 species